GAUGAAGAACGCAGCGAAAUGCGAUGAGUAAUGUGAAUUGCAGAAUUCAGUGAAUCAUCGAAUCUUUGAACGCACAUUGCGCCCGCCAGUAUUCUGGCGGGCAUGCCUGUUCGAGCGUCAUUUCAACCAUCAAGCCCCCGGCUUGUGUUGGGGACCUGCGGCUGCCGCAGGCCCUGAAAAGCAGUGGCGGGCUCGCUGUCACACCGAGCGUAGUAGCAUACAUCUCGCUCUGGGCGUGCUGCGGGUUCCGGCCGUUAAACCACCUUCAUAACCCAAGGUUGACCUCGGAUCAGGUAGGAAGACCCGCUGAACUUAAGCAUAUCAAUAAGCGGAGGA
rnacentral:misc_RNA from 1 species